rnacentral:rRNA from 1 species
UACAGAGGUCUCAAGCGUUGUUCGGAUUCAUUGGGCGUAAAGGGUGCGUAGGUGGCGUCGUAAGUCGGGUGUGAAAUUUCGGAGCUCAACUCCGAAACUGCAUUCGAUACUGCGGUGCUUGAGGACUGGAGAGGAGACUGGAAUUUACGGUGUAGCAGUGAAAUGCGUAGAGAUCGUAAGGAAGACCAGUGGCGAAGGCGGGUCUCUGGGCCGAUACUGACGCUGAGGAGCGAAAGCGUGGGGAGCAAACAGG